rnacentral:rRNA from 1 species
CAGGGCUUGACAUCCCUCUGAAAUCUCUAGAGAUAGAGGCUCCCUUCGGGGCAGAGGUGACAGGUGGUGCAUGGUUGUCGUCAGCUCGUGUCGUGAGAUGUUGGGUUAAGUCCCGCAACGAGCGCAACCCUUAUCUUUAGUUGCCAGCAUUCAGUUGGGCACUCUAGAGAGACUGCCGUCGACAAGACGGAGGAAGGUGGGGAUGACGUCAAAUCAUCAUGCCCCUUAUGUCCUGGGCUACACACGUGCUACAAUGGAUGGAACAACGGGCAGCUAACUCGCGAGAGUACGCAAAUCCCUUAAAACCAUUCUCAGUUCGGAUUGCAGGCUGCAACUCGCCUGCAUGAAGCCGGAAUCGCUAGUAAUCGCGGAUCAGCAUGCCGCGGUGAAUACGUUCCC